GACGAACGCUGGCGGCGUGCUUAACACAUGCAAGUCGAGCGGAAAGGCCCUUCGGGGUACUCGAGUGGCGAACGGGUGAGUAACACGUGGGUGAUCUGCCCUGCACUUUGGGAUAAGCCUGGGAAACUGGGUCUAAUACCGAAUAGGACCACGCGCUUCAUGGUGUGUGGUGGAAAGCUUUUGCGGUGUGGGAUGGGCCCGCGGCCUAUCAGCUUGUUGGUGGGGUAAUGGCCUACCAAGGCGACGACGGGUAGCCGGCCUGAGAGGGUGACCGGCCACACUGGGACUGAGAUACGGCCCAGACUCCUACGGGAGGCAGCAGUGGGGAAUAUUGCACAAUGGGCGCAAGCCUGAUGCAGCGACGCCGCGUGAGGGAUGGCGGCCUUCGGGUUGUAAACCUCUUUCACCAGGGACGAAGCGUAAGUGACGGUACCUGGAGAAGAAGCACCGGCCAACUACGUG
rnacentral:rRNA from 1 species